rnacentral:tRNA from 1 species
AGGGUAGUAGCUCAGUGGUAGAGCACAUGCUUAGCAUACAUGAGGUCCUGGGUUCAAUCCCCAGUACCUCCA